rnacentral:rRNA from 1 species
UUGGAGGGCAAGUCUGGUGCCAGCAGCCGCGGUAAUUCCAGCUCCAAUAGCGUAUAUUAAAGUUGUUGCAGUUAAAAAGCUCGUAGUUGAAUUUCGGGGUCAGCAGGUUGGUCGUGCCACUGGUAUGCACUGGCUUCGCUGAUUCCUCCUUUCUGAAGAACUGUAAUGCCAUUAAUUUGGUGUUGCAGGGAAACAGGACUGUUACUUUGAAAAAAUUAGAGUGUUUAAAGCAGGCUUUGGCUUGAAUACAUUAGCAUGGAAUAAUGAAAUAGGACGUUCGAUCCUAUUUUGUUGGUUUCUAGGAUUGACGUAAUGAUUAAUAGGGAUAGUUGGGGGCAUUAGUAUUCAAUUGUCAGAGGUGAAAUUCUUGGAUUUAUUGAAGACUAACUACUGCGAAAGCAUUUGCCAAGGAUGUUUUCAUUAAUCAAGAACGAAAGUUAGGGGAUCGAAGACGAUCAGAUACCGUCGUAGUCUUAACCAUAAACUAUGCCGACUAGGGAUCGGAUGAUGUUAAUUUUUUAAUGACUCAUUCGGCGCCUUACGGGAAAC